GACAGAGGGUGCAAACGUUGCUCGGAAUUACUGGGCGUAAAGCGCGUGUAGGUGGAUUGGUGUGUCAGAUGUGAAAGCCCUGGGCUCAACCCAGGAACUGCACCUGAAACUACCAGUCUUGAGUGGUGGAGAGGGAAGUGGAAUUCCUGGUGUAGCGGUGAAAUGCGCAGAUAUCGUAAGGAAGACCAGUGGCGAAGGCGGGUCUCUGGACAGUUCCUGACGCUGAGGCACGAAGGCCAGGGGAGCAAACGGG
rnacentral:rRNA from 1 species